GAGCGAAGAGGGAUAAGCUCAAAUUUUAAAUCUUGUUGGGUUCCGCUUAACAGAGUUGUAUUUUAGAAGAAAUGUUUUCGGCAUCCAGGAUUAGCCUAAAUCCUUUGGGAUAAGGUAUCAUGGAGGGUGAGAAUCCCGUUCAUGGUUAAUCUUAAGGAAGCUCUAUGAUACGUUUUCCAAGAGUCGAGUUGUUUGGGAUUGCACCUCAAAAUGGGAGGUAAAUUUCUCCUAAGGCUAAAUAUUGGCGAGAGACCGAUAGCGAACAAGUACCGUGAGGGAAAGAUGAAAAGAACUUUGAAAAGAGAGUUAAAUAGUACGUGAAAUUGUUGAAAGGGAAACGCUUGAAGUCAGUCGUGCUGGCGCGAAAUCAACCUGCCCGUCGAGCGAUCACCUGCUGUGGCGAGCCUCAAAACCGCUACGACUCGUGACCACUUAAUGGUCUGGUGCACUUUUGUGUCGGCUGGUUAACAUCAAUUUCGAUCAUCAUAAAAAGGCUGGAGGGAUGUGGCUCCUUCGGGAGUGUUAUAACCUUUGGCGGAGUGUGGUGGUCGGGAUUGAGGAUUGCAACGAAUACCUUUAGGGCUGUUCCACCUGGCCUCUCAUCGGUAUCCUGGUGGCGACAGCUUGCUGACGUCGUUAGGGUUCGCCUUCGAACAGGCUAGAGUGUGAGCAAAUUCGUUA
rnacentral:rRNA from 1 species